GGAUCGUCGGCAAAGAUUCCUCUACACGAAAAUCGCGAAAAUUUCCAAAGGAUCUAACGAAAGGGAAACAAAAUUAAUAAUAAAGUAUUGUCGCUCACCUGCACUUAUAGCUAAACAGUCGAAAACAAAAAGGCUGGCCAACGCCAGGGCCAACACCAGCGUUCUGGCGGGCAACAGCUUCUUGCGCCUCGUAGCCAUUUCUGGAACGCGCGUCGGUCGGUGUUUUGCACUGUUAAAUCCAAUACACGGCGAUCGGAAACACUACACAGAGUAAACCGCGAACUCGUAAUCCUUUGACGGCGCGCCAAACAUUUCGCCAAAAUAAACAGUUCACAACAUAAUAUUAUACGCACGUCGAAUACGAAAAAAAAGGAAAAGAAAAGAAAACUUAACCGGCGAAAUAAAAUGAUCGAAUCUCAAACGGGGUGAAAAAAAAAAAUAGAAAACACUGUCGCGGCGCACAUGCAACACCGGAAGUGUUAAAGACUCGUGUGCGUUUGCGUAUGCGUGUAUUUCGUACAACGACGAUACGACGUUAAUAAUAUUAUAUAUCGUAAAAUUGUCGGCGAAAAACCACUGGCGGUUCACUCACGCGAUUCGGACAUGGUGCCGCGGUCUGUGCCAACGAACGAAUGAGGUUAACCUCAAUCCACCGCCGCCGCCGCGUGCUGGCACAACCGUAGAUCUUUCACCGCGUUUCC